AGAGCGAACGCUGGCGGCAGGCCUAACACAUGCAAGUCGAACGGAUCCUUCGGGAUUAGUGGCGGACGGGUGAGGAACACGUGGGAACGUGCCUUUUGGUUCGGAACAACUCAGGGAAACUUGAGCUAAUACCGGAUGUGCCCUUCGGGGGAAAGAUUUAUCGCCAUUAGAGCGGCCCGCGUCUGAUUAGCUUGUUGGUGAGGUAAAGGCUCACCAAGGCUACGAUCAGUAGCUGGUCUGAGAGGAUGAUCAGCCACACUGGGACUGAGACACGGCCCAGACUCCUACGGGAGGCAGCAGUGGGGAAUCUUGCGCAAUGGGCGAAAGCCUGACGCAGCCAUGCCGCGUGAAUGAUGAAGGUCUUAGGAUUGUAAAAUUCUUUCGACCGGGACGAUAAUGACGGUACCGAGAAGAAGCCCGCUAACUUCGUGCCAGCACGCCGC
rnacentral:rRNA from 1 species